UACGUAGGGACCAAGCGUUGUUCGGAAUUACUGGGCGUAAAGGGCUCGUAGGCGGCCAACUAAGUCAGACGUGAAAUCCCCAGGCUCAACCUGGGAACUGCGUCUGAUACUGGAUGGCUUGAAUUCGGGAGAGGGAUGCAGAAUUCCAGGUGUAGCGGUGAAAUGCGUAGAUAUCUGGAGGAAUACCGGUGGCGAAGGCGGCAUCCUGGACCGACAUUGACGCUGAGGAGCGAAAGCCAGGGGAGCAAACGGG
rnacentral:rRNA from 1 species